ACGUACGCUCCUACGGGAGGCAGCAGUGAGGAAUAUUGGACAAUGGGUGGAAGCCUGAUCCAGCCAUCCCGCGUGCAGGAAGACGGCCCUAUGGGUUGUAAACUGCUUUUAUCUGGGGAUAAACCUACUUACGUGUAAGUAGCUGAAGGUACCAGAAGAAUAAGCACCGGCUAACUCCGUGCCAGCAGCCGCGGUAAUACGGAGGGUGCAAGCGUUAUCCGGAUUUAUUGGGUUUAAAGGGUCCGUAGGCGGACUGAUAAGUCAGUGGUGAAAUCCGACAGCUUAACUGUCGAACUGCCAUUGAUACUGUUAGUCUUGAGUAAGGUUGAAGUGGCUGGAAUAAGUAGUGUAGCGGUGAAAUGCAUAGAUAUUACUUAGAACACCAAUUGCGAAGGCAGGUCACUAAGUCUUAACUGACGCUGAUGGACGAAAGCGUGGGGAGCGAACAGGAUUAGAAACCCCUGUAGUCCCAUG
rnacentral:rRNA from 1 species